rnacentral:rRNA from 1 species
CACGUAGGGCGCAAGCGUUGUCCGGAAUUAUUGGGCGUAAAGAGCUCGUAGGCGGUCUGUUGCGUCCGCUGUGAAAACUCGGGGCUUAACCCCGAGCCUGCAGUGGAUACGGGCAGACUAGAGGUAGGUAGGGGAGAAUGGAAUUCCCGGUGUAGCGGUGAAAUGCGCAGAUAUCAGGAAGAACACCGGUGGCGAAGGCGGCUCUCUGGGCCUUACCUGACGCUGAGGAGCGAAAGCGUGGGUAGCGAACAGGG